AGAGGAUACCCUUUGUAUGUUC
rnacentral:miRNA from 6 species